AGGGACCUGUGUCACAGACAGGGGGGGGAUGCAUUCAAGACCUGCAGGACAAAAAAGCCCUGCACGCUGUCGUGGACUGGGACUAAAGAUAACACACAACACGCAUCAUUGCAAAUAAAAAACAGGCUUCAUUUAGCGCACACUGAACCAAACUUUCUCUUUUUGUAAGUGCAGUUUUUAGGCUUCAUAUCAAUCACUCAGUCAGACCUUAUUUAUGUGGCACCUCUCAUACAGGUUAGCUCAGUUCAAAGCGCUUCACAGAUGACUGAUCAGCCGACAACAAGACGGAACAAGUGCAGAAUAAAGCUAGAUUUUGAAAAAAAAAGGAGAUAAUAUUGAACCCCGGUACAUUUUUUGGCAGUGGCUAAAAGCACACUGUAAAUCACUUGAAUUCUGAUUAGAAGCUUUAAAAUUGUGAGUUCAAUGCACUUUGGUUGAUUAUGUAGGUGAAGGUCAACCUAUGAGUCCUGUAAAUGAGCCGAACUGGAGAAAACAAGUUCAAUGAACAUAAAAUAUUAAGUUGAAUCAACUAGCGGUAGCAGCUGGAUGUGUUUCUUUUUAUAUUAGCUAACUUUAAAGUGUUUCUUCUUCAUUUAACAUCAUGAACUUACAGUCACAGCUGUUGAAGCCUUUUUUAGUCCGUACAAAGACAAUCUGUAAAGUUAAUUCUGGACUAAAUUCAAUAUUAAACUCAGUUAAUAUUGGAGUUAUUUUGAUUGUUAUGCAAUGAAAUUGAAUUGUUUGUUGCAAAGAAAUAGCCAGAAUUUAAUUUUACAACAAGUUUCCAUCAUGUCAGUUUCUUCAAAUUACAAAAAAAUCAAGACAAAAUUAUCUAACAAUGCACCCUGGGAAGUCUGCUUAUACGCUAGUUUUGUUUCCUAUAAACUUAAUUGAAUUAGUUAAAUGAACUUUCUAGUGUUCGUUCAUUGAACUUGAGUAAAAAUGCAAUAUAUAAAUAUCCUAUUUUUACAAUUAAAAGUGAUCUGAAAGUAAAAAUUAGGUUCAUUUAACUAUGAAUUAGCAAGAUUUACAUUUAUUUAACUGGCAAAAAAAUACAUUAAUUUGACUAAAUUCCUUUGGCAUGUCGAACAUGGUAAAGGAAUUUAGUCAUGCCAAAAAAUACUGAAAACAAAUGGAGAAAUAUCUGGUUAGAUUUUGUAAUAAUCUUCAACCAAAAACAUUCAUAUUCAUGUCAAUAAUCUGCAAAUUUUAGGCAUAUUUUUGUUCUGUUGCUUGUGUUUUCACCGUGUUUAACAUGUGAAAACUUUGGUUUCUUUUGCGAGAAUAACAAAGUUUUGCAGAAAAAUAUAUGUAUAUUUUUCUCACAUUGUCCCACAACUCAGGUGUCAUAUCUUCAAGUACUUUUGCACUUUUACUGGAUGCUAGAAGUGAAACUACUUCCCUCGCAGUACAACUCUUUGCCCUCCGUGAACUCAAACCCCACAAUAGCUGGAAAGGAUGGUGACCUGCCAGUGAGGCCUCGGCGAAAAGCAACCUGCUGCCAUGUUCAUUAAUCUCACCGUAAGCGAAGCCCUGUGACAGAACAGUGAUUCCUACUUGAGAGUUUUAUUGACUUAUCUGCUUAAUGUAGUUUAUACUAAGAGCUCCUGUUUAUUUUCUCUCCCCCUUUCUUUUUUUUUUCCACCAGCAGGAGGGAGGUAAUAGGCCCACUUCAGGGCAGGGAUACAAGCUAUUAGCAGUGAUUUUUCAAAGUGUUCCCACUUGUUAGCAUGCACAGAUCUGCUGAUCUAACAGAUAACACAACAACAAACCUGUCUACUCCAUUUGGGAAAAGCCCCCUCGCACUAUUUCAACUGUCUGAAAACACCUGCCCCUGCAGUUCCAGCAUCAAUUUGUGGUUUUCCUCUGGAGCUGAUGUUUGAAGAACGAUAGCGAUGCCGAUGACGGACGAACGUGACACGCGUGAAGCUCUGCACCAGAAUGCUGGAGCUGAUGCGUCUAAGCAGGGAUUAAUCACUGCAGCGAGACAGCCGGGAUCGCCUUGUGAUGCCAGGAACCAUCACAGUUUCAUUCAGGUAAUUAAUUUUAAUUGCUUUAUAUUUUAUUUGAAAUAAAAGAGAGCGAGAAAACAAGUUUGCCAUGCCCUGUGUUUUGACAUGCUUUCCGUGAUGACAAGCUCGAACAAAACUGUUGCUUCCAGAAGCUGCAGGACGUUUCUUGUUUAUUCCUCUCUGAGAUUACGCACACCCAUUUAUACAUGAAGAGUUUGGAAGCAGGGUGGUCUAACACACUUUCUGUAGUUUUUGAGAAAAAUGGGUUAAAAGCUUUGUGUUUCCAAGAAUGGUCAAACAUCUGAAGCACCGCAGUGUAGUUAGCUGUUUCUGUGACUUUAGCUAUGUAGUAAGCGUCUUUCUGUGACCAUAGCUGUGUAUUUAGCUGUUCUUGUAUUAAUUUAGCUGUGUAGUUAGCUGUUUUCUGUUACUUUAGCUGUGUACUUAGCUUCUUUCUGUAACUUCAGCUGUGUAAUUACCUGUUUUUCAGUUACUUUAGCUGUGUUGUCAGCUUCUGUCUAUGGCUUUAGCUGCAUUGUUAGCUUCAUUCUAUAGCUUUGGCUAUGUAGUUAGCUUCUUUCGAUAACUUUAGUUGUAUAGUUAGAUUCCUCUAUGACUUAGCCACAUUGUUAGCUUCUUCAAUCACUUAAGCUGUGAAGGGUUUGGAAGCAGAGUGGUCUAACACAUUUUCUGUAGUUUUUGAGAAAAAUAGGUUCAAAGUUUUGUGUUUUCAAGAACAGUCUAACAUCCGAAGUGCCACUGUGUAGUUUUUAUGAAUUUAUCUAUGUAGUUAGCGUUUUUUUAUGGCCAUAGCUCUGUAUUAACUGUUUUUUGUAUUAUUUUAGCUGUGUAGUUGGCUGUUUUCUAUUAUUUUAACUGUGUAGUUAGCUUUUUUCUGUAACUUCAGCUGUGUAAUUACCUGUUUUUCAGUUACUUUAGCUGUGUUGUUAGCUUCUUUCUAUAGCUUUAGCUGCAUUGUUAGCGUCUUUCUGUGGCUUUGGCUAUGUAGUUAGCUUCUUUCUAUAACUUUAGUUGUGUAGUUAGCUUCCUCUAUUACUUAGCCACAUUGUUAGCAUCUUUAAUGACUUAAAUUGUGUAAUAAAUGUUGUUCUAUGACUUGAAGGGUUUGGAAGCAGAGUGGUCUAACACACUUUCUGUAGUUUUUGAGAAAAAUGGGUCCAAAGUUUUGUGUUUUCAAGAAUGGUCUAACAUCCGAAGCGCCACUGUAAUGCUAUAUUUGGGUUGUGGGUUAGACCACUUUGCCACUAAAAUCUAGACCAAAAAAUAUUACAGAAAAGAUAUAUAACUCGGAUGUUUUGUGGGUUAGACCACUCUGCUUCUUCCCUCUCAUAUAUGUCACCUGGAGAAACAUAUUUUACAAUACAUGCAUGUGUUUUGAGCGUUUCUGCAGCUUCGCCAGCUCCUCUCGGCUCGGACAAUGUGGUGCUGGAGGCCAUGAAAGGAUCACGGCCUGAACAAUUGACGCUGAUCAGAUCAGAGCGCCACUCCAGGAUGACCUCAGGACCCCCGCAGGGUGCAACCCAAUCACAGCAGCCACCAACUCUGACAGAUGAGUGCAGCGCGGCACCCCACCCCGACACAAAAGUCAAGCCAUUGAAGUCACAGCAGAAAAAAAUCCCCCCUUUUGAUAAGUUCACAACUCAUGUGCGAUACCAAAACCCUUCCCCCAGCCUCCCAAAAAGCUUUUUGAUCUCAGGUGAGCUCCCAGGUAUCAGCGCCGGUUGUUUUGCUUUUACAGCUGGGUUUUUAUGGAAUAUGAUGAUCCUGCAAAUCCACUCGUGUUGUUGAAUGAGUGACACUGAUACACAACAAACAGUUCUCAGGUAACCUCCAGCAUGUGUAAAGCAAUAAAAAACUAUCAAACGCUGCUACACAUAGAGCCUCUUCCCUAUCAUAUCCAUCUCAAACUUCUAUUUUCCCAUGCAGGGUUUGUAAUCUGAUCAUCAAUCUCCCUUCGUGUCCUUGUCUUGCGUUUACCCGAGCGAAAGGAGCCACAUUAGCUCAUCUGCCAGUCGCAACAUCACUGAGUUCAAGUGUUGCUGACUUCACUCCGUCUGGUGACUGAGUGACUAAGGACCUUUAAUUACACUGUCUGCUUGCUCGGUUGCUGCCCAUUAAUCUCUCAGGCACGGGAUGGACCCGACUGGAUGAUGCUUUGCUGUGCAUUCAGACCACCGUGCCAACUUCAGCUGGGCUGCUAUGCUACAUGCCCACCGCUCUGACAACACCAGGCUUUCUGAUGGAAUCAAUUAGCAAACCGCAUGAGACUUUGUGGUGGACAUAGCAUGUUUAGACUGCAUUCCGUGGAUCUGCCAGCCUCUUUGUCUUUGUUUGCAGAGGAUGUGCCUCGCUUGAUCCGUACGGACAGACGAGAUGAAAGGGAUAUCUUUUUGGCUAGGUGCUAAUGAGAGUCUUAACCCGCGAGGCGCGUUGUGCAAACAGACGCGCACGCAGACGCAUGCAUGCCGACCACGUGUGCCACGCUGAUCCUGCCUGCUCUGCCUCACUUCUCGGAAGCUACGAGCGACGUGUCUCAGCAGCAGAGACCUCCAGAGAGGCAGAAUGCCGGGGGAAUCCGCUGCAGGGAAGGAGACGAAGCAGCCGAGCAGCAAAGCGAACUGCAGGGCUUGGCAGGUGCAUGCCUGGGCACGUCUGCGUGGGGCCUCUGCCGGCCCUGGGGGGGUUUUACGGCGUGGUUGGGGGUUUUCUCAGCAUCUAAACUGGGUUGAUGUGAAAGUAUGAUGGGCCACUGGAAACCACAGAAAUGAGGCAGAGGAAACAAAGGGAUUCCACCACACACCUCGCUUAAAGAGUGGAAAUUCAUGCAAUCAAGGCUGUAGCACUGUCAACAAAAACUUUCAAACUGGGCCACUCCCAGCGCAGCGAAAUCACGACAACAAGCUUCAGAAAUGGCAUCUCCCCCGUUUUGUCUCACAGCUUGAGUCAAAGGGUGAGUCAAGGAAUCUCGUACUGUCAGAACUAUGUUGCAGCUGCUGUGGUGGGAGGUCUGCGUUACAGAGUGCAGCACACAUAAGCUCACUUUGUGUGACAGCAAGUAAGAACCAGGUGACCCUCUGAACCUGUUGAACACAGCAUGAGAUCUGACCUCACCGGCUUUGAUCUGUACACAAGUUCAUGACUAGAGUCCCUUUACGAGUAUUUUAAGGUCAUUUUCCACUGCAGUGCUGUUUUAGGGUGGUCCGAACUUCCAGCUACAGGUACCACACCUGUAGAACCUCUAGCAGGAGUAGAACAAGUACCCACACCUGGGUAGCAACCCUAAAAAACUACUGUGCAGGACUCAAUGCUUAAUCAUUACACAUGAAGAGGACGAGGAUGAUUUUUCUGCCCUUUCGAUGUCUUUGUCCAAUGUAAAAUCCACCAUAAAGUCCGACAGAACAAACAUCCAAUCUUGUAUUUCCUACAUAAUUAGAGAACUAGAGUUAAGUCCAGUAACUACUAUUUGUUGUUGCUUUGACACAGUUGAGUUGAUGUUGCAGUCAAAGUUUUCUCUCUAUAUCAAACAGAAGCACAAGUUCUGUAAGUUCUGAUUACAUUCUUGUAAACACUUGUGGCACCUGGCACCAACCUCAAGUUCCUUGGAAAAACCCCCUUUACCAUCUCAGGAGUGCUGAUGUCCAAGUCUUUUUGCCUCAUUUGGCAAAUGAAACACCAUUACGAGGAACUGCCUACGAAACGCCAUGUUAAUUUAAAGUCAACUUAAAGAUUGUACAGGGCAAGAUCCACACUUUCUUGGAUCUUCUCCCUAACCUUUGGUAUAAUAACUUCGGAUAAUAAAAAAUAAUAUGAUAAAGAUGGUACUACAAUAAAAAAUACUUAGUUAUAUUGCACCUGUGUUGGCUAAAACAACUUUCAUCUUACCAUGAAGAGACUGUCCUCUAUAGUUUUUAUAUAGGAAGUUAUUUUGCGCAGCAUGUCCCAAAAACAUUGAACUUCUUUGUUUUCUAUCUAUGGCUAGCCAUUUUAACACUUACUAGCUGAGUCUGACCAACUACAAGUAAAAUUACAGGCAGCAGUGUCAUUUUGAGUAGCAGUAGUGACACUGUGACAAGUCAGAGUUUUUAUUCCAGGUAUCUAAAAUAUUUUAAAUAUCAUAAAACAACAGUGACAGAUAUCUGUAAUUCAGUUUCGAAUAAUAGUUGCAGAUAUCUCAAACAUAAUUUUGACUAGUCUGAAUUGCAUAAUGCAAGGCUUUCCAUUGGAUAUUGGUCAAUAAAGCAUUUGUUAGCAGAAGUAAUGACUGAUAUGGUGAAUAAGGUUCUAAGAAAAUGCUGUAAAAUAGGAAGAAAUGAAUAGUGUGGAGUUUGUGAAGACAUAAAAUUGACUUGUGGUUAAAUUUUACUGGAACUUUUGCCUCCAGUUUCUAUAACAUGGCAGUAAAAUGGCUGCUAUAGGUGUUUUUGCAGUGUAUGUUUGAAAAGCAGGCCACCUCCAGCUUGGCAUAGCUUCUGAUGUAACAACAGAUAUUUGCUUUGUCAUUGCGUCUAGUCAAAACUCUAAUUCUGGAUAUCUGUAAUUACUGUUCAACUGGGCCAAAUUCCAGUUUGAGAUCCAAAAUGUCAUUCUGAGCACUUCAAACUUAAUUUAAAAUACUUAAAACAGACAAUGUACAUAUUUUGAAUUCAAGGUGAUUAGUUAUCUUGAACCAGUAUUAUGACCAGUAAGAAUUAAACUUAAAAUGAUCUGAAACUGGAAUUUCUACUAGUCAUAAUUUGUUUUUAGGUAUGUCCAAUGUGAAUUGUAGACAUCUACAGCUGAAUUGAGGUAUCUAUAAUUAGAAAACCCACACAACUGAACUGUAAAAGUUCCAUCAUUUGUCCUGUAACAAUGACAGUGUAGUUAUCUGAAACUAUACAUAUUCAGAUGCAGUAAUUGUUGUUCAUGUCCAUUACCUUUCUUACUCAUUCUUUGUGUUUUGCACAUCAAUUGAACAAGGAAAUAACAUGUCACUUCCUGGCGCCAUCUUUGUUUUUGAAUGCAGAAGUCAAGUUAGCUUGAUUGUCUUUUUCAAAUUACAUUCUGACAUGAGUGUUUUUUUAAUGUUUUAAGAUACUUCAGGGAUUCUGGAAAUGUCUUCCAAAUUAUGGUAAGUUUUCUCAGACAAUGUUUUUACCCUAACUUUGGUUCGUAUGUGUUUAACCUUUAGCAACACAUCUAGCUAGCUAGCUAAAUGUUAGCUAUGUGCUUCUUGUUGAUUAGCUGACACCAGAGCUGGAAUAAAAUUGUCUAUUUCACUUUUUAUUCUUAUUAGUAUUACCAGAGAGGAGCUGGAUUAGUUUAACAGUGACCAUUUUAUGGACUUCUCUCAGUUCUUUAUAGUGAGUGUUUACUGUUUUACUUACUAAUUACUGUUUGUGUUUUAGUUAUCUGUCUUAUAUUUAUAGGACUUCAUUUGACUUCAGGCUGUGCAAGUAACAAAACCACAAAGUAGAAAUACUUCAUCACAAGUCCUGCAUUUAAAGUUUUACAGAACUAAAUAUACUUCUUGAUGGUGUUUGAUUGAGAAAUUAACACGUAUGCAGUAUUUUGCAUACAUGUAGCUGGCUAAAGUGAAGCUAAUUGCCUCUAAUAGGCUACUGUGGAGUAGUUUAAAUUCACACUAGGCCUGCAACCAUCACUUCAUUGUUGGUAAUUAUGUCAAUUAUUUUCUCGAUCAACCAAUUUGUUUGUCACAAAAUGGUUAAAAAUGUCAAUCGGUGUUUGUUAAAGCACAAAAUUACAUCCCCAACAAAAAGAUAUUCAGUUUACUGUCAUGAAAGAGGAAAGAAACCAGAAAAUGUUUACAUUUAAGCAGCUAGAAUCAAAGAAUUUAUACAUCUUUCCUUAAAAGAUGCUCAACCUGAAUAAUUGGAAAUCUAAAUAGUUGCAGAUUCAUUUAAUAGUUGACAACUAAAUGGUGAAUUGUUGAAACUCUUAUUUAUACAACUGGAUUUUAUAAGCUCAUCAUGUUUUGUGUACAAAAUCUGCAAAGUAACUACUGCUGUUGAAUAAAUCUUGCAGAGUUAAAACCCCAAAAAUGUAAGAGACUAAGAGAAAAAUGCAACUAGUUUGACUCAAGACUAAUAUAUAUAUAUAUAUUUUGUUAGUUUCCACCACUGGUGACACAAACUGAGAUGUUUUCAGGUUGUUUGUCAAAAGAAAAGGUAAAAGUUGUUUGUGAAGUUGAAGUCGCAACCAAAAUAUGAGAAUGAAACAUCAAGAAAAAGUGAAGAAUUGAGCAACCUGUCACAAUCAAUCCCUCGGUGCAUCAUUACUUAGACACUGUUUAAAGACUCAUGAAGCUACAAGGUUCCUAUUUCAAACUGCUUUUAUUAAAAUGACUGCAAGCAAUGCAAAGCUUUAUUUGUACUGUCUGCUCUGUAAAAGUGCUGCAUCCCUGUUGCCAGAUGUUAAAAACCUGCUGACAUACUGGGAAACUCUCAAGGAUGUUGCUUUCUGGUCAAGAGGGCAGGUAACGAUGGAUUUAUCGGCUUCUGGUUUGGAUUUUCAUGUUUUUUCUUCAGAUUCGAUCAUUAAAAUGCAAAAAUUGUCCACGAUACUCACGAAUCAGAUGAAAUUCUCUGUUUUAUUUAGAAAGAAUCAUUUAAUCAAGCACUGAAAUCUGAAGUUUCUGUACAACUAAGUAUGCUUGAUGGAGAGUUUGAAUGGAUUCUACCUUUACAAACAUGUUUCAGAGCUGAUAAAAUGCUUGCAUUCCAUUUCAUUCGCCCCUAGCAUUUAUUGAUGACGGCUGCCAGUUGUUUGUAGACAGGUCUGAAUAAGUUAACUUGUUUCAUUAAAAAAAAUAAAUUAAUAAUGUGGGGUUAUGCUGGGUUUGUGCCUGCAGCGCUGAGCCCUGAGUGUCUGCUGUGAGAUCCAAUAAGGGAUCCGCAAGGCCUCGGCAGCAACAGACUGCAGGAACGUUGUUUGCAUUAAACUCUAAUCUACCUCCAAUUUACCUCUAUAUGUUGACGCCGCAGCUCAACUUGUCAGAUUUGCCCGCAGGACGUCGUGUUGCUAAAUGAGGCCCUAGCAGAGCAGUCUGAAAACUCUGCCAUCAGAACCUCGCACAUAAAUCCCACGACAGGAUCCGUGGAGAGAUGAAGACACUCGAAAGAGAACGGUUGCAGGCAGUGUGGAGUUGGGACAAGGAGCCCCUGCAGUCACAAGUAUGGAGACGUGACGAGGGAAGCUGAGCAGGGUGUAAACUUGUGAACCUGCCUGUCAGGAAGAGAGCAGCCGAAGCUCUGCGCUGGAGAGCCUCGGUGGCAAAUGCACGGGAAAUGUAGUGUCUUUGUGCGACUGUAGGUGGACACAACAGAGUCUGAGCUGAAAGGACGGAGCUCGUUUGAGUCUUGGGGGACUGUGUGAAUGAAGCACGACUCAAACAGCGCAUUGUUCGUUCAUAAGGGGGCAGCUUGUUGGCCCCAGAUUGGCGGCAGCAUCCUCUGCGAAUCAUAACUCGUGAUGGAGCGUUCGGAAUCUCCUGGAAUUCUUCUGCGGAAAUUUCUGACACCGCACGGCGUCUUUAAAAGUAAUUAAAAAACUAAUUGCUGUUGACUUUCUCAUGGCUGAUUGAUCUGAGGGAAAGAAGAAAAAAAGAAAGAAGGCCCGCACUGGUUAAACCCAAUUCCUCUGAUCUGCUGUUGCAGGACGCCAUUUUUACAAAACCAACUGGGUUUUUCCUGCAUUGAGGAAUUUCUGGCACCACUCAAAUGAGUUUUAGCCAACACCAAAGGAAAAUCACCAGCGCCAAAAUAAUGGGAAUUGACAUUAAAAAGAGCAAUGCACUGUUUUAUAGACAAUUUUGCUAAUUUUUUUCAAGCACAAUGGACAUUUUUGCUUGUCAAAUUGCCAGAAAAUGCAUAGUUUUCUAUCAGUUGCCUUUAACUCGUGAGGAUCAAUCAUGCUUAAGGCCCAUUUUUUCAGUCUGAUCCAGGAAAAACACUUGUCAUGCAUGUAUUUGAUUCUCCAUUCUGCUCUUACAUGCCUCAGUAGGGCUCUGAAAUGUAUUGAAAGUUCACAAACUUGACAUCUUCUUGAAGAAUAUUGCUUGUUAUGGAAAUUCUUUAUUAAAACUUUGUAAAAAUUUGA